rnacentral:rRNA from 1 species
AGAGUGAACGCUGGCGGCAGGCCUAACACAUGCAAGCCGAACGGCAGCACAGGGGAGCUUGCUCCCUGGGUGGCGAGUGGCGGACGGGUGAGGAAACGUCGGAAUCUGCCUGUUUGUGGGGGAUAACGUAGGGAAACUUACGCUAAUACCGCAUACGACCUACGGGUGAAAGCGGAGGACCUUCGGGCUUCGCGCAGAUAGAUGAGCCGACGUCGGAUUAGCUAGUUGGCGGGGUAAAGCCCACCAAGGCGACGAUCCGUAGCUGGUCUGAGAGGAUGAUCAGCCACACUGGAACUGAGACACGGUCCAGACUCCGUACGGGAGGCAGCAGUGGGGGAAUAG